GGUAGGCACGUGAGUUCACAUCGAUCGAGACUUCAUCCUUCUACAUUAGAAGCAUUAGUAUGUACACAAAAUUGGUUGAAGACUGACAAAAAAGCAACAGUGAAUGAUGAAGAUAAUGAUGUUGAUCCAACAAUGGAGCCUUACGUAGUUGAUCUUGAUGAUUAGAGAGUACAUUGUUCUUUUUAGUAUAUGAGUGAGGACAUGGAUGAGAACAAAUUGUAGUGUUUAGUACUUAUGGUUGCUAGUUAUUAUAUUUGAGUUUAUGGUUGGUAGUUAUUAUUGAUGUAUUAAACAUUGUUAGUAACAAAAGUACAAUCUCAAACUUUCCUCUAUUAUGCAUAAUUGAAUCACUCAUUUAUUCAUUAUAACAAAAAUGCAAUUAUCCAUUGAAAACCUUAGUUUCCAACCUUAUCUAUUAUUAAAGUAAAAUUGAAAAAAAAAACAUUACCAUCACACCCUUAUAAUUCUCUUCAUUAAAAAUAAAUUGACUUACAUAAUUAUUAUAAUAUUGAUUUUAAAACAUAAUCAAACAGCAUAAUA